ensembl:lncRNA novel transcript
CCUCUUUCUCAGGGCAGCAGAGCGGGUGCAGAUUGCAAAUCCACCAAUGGUGCACAAGAAACCAGAAGGGUGACAGAAGAUGGCAUCUCCACGAUGAUCAACAAGAACAACAAUUCAUGUGUGAAUCACUUCUUUGGCUUUUGGCUGAGAUCAAGUGCAAUGCACGUGUGACCUCUCGUCCUCUGGUGUCUCUGAUGAUUAGAUGAAGACAGUUGUUAAAACAAAGUCUUGUUUCAGCACCAAGCUGCAACAGACAUGAACUUUCAAAUGGAGGUGCCAAAUGUCCACGUGCAGAUAUUCAUCAGGAAUUUCUGAGAAACUUGCUCUGAAACACUGAGACUCUCUCAACUACUUGAAGAAUAGAAACCCAAUCUCUACUAAAAAUACAAAAAUUAGCCAGGCAUGAGCCACCGUGCCUGGCCCAAAUGUCACUCUUCUUAUAAGGACACCAGUUGUAUUAGAUUAAGGGCCCACCCUACUCCGGUAUGACCACAUCUUAACUAAUUAUUGCAUCUGCAACAACCUCAUUUCCAAAUAAGGUCACUUUUUUGAGGUGCUGGGGGUUAAGACUUCAACAUAUGCUUUUUUGGGGAACACAAUUCAACUCAUAGCAUAGGGAGAGAAAGUAAAGGGGUGGGGGGUAACGAAAAGGUGAGAAGUCCAUCUUCUGAGGUCCAUCUUCCCAAAACCCCUGUUUCUAUUCUACUCAGUUGGUCUG